UACGGAGGGUGCAAGCGUUAUCCGGAUUUACUGGGUUUAAAGGGUGCGUAGGUGGGUAGGUAAGUCAGCGGUGAAAUCUCCGAGCUUAACUCGGAAACUGCCAUUGAUACUAUCUAUCUUGAAUGUCCUGGAGGUGAGCGGAAUAUGUCAUGUAGCGGUGAAAAUGCUUUAGAUAUGACAUAGAACACCAAUUGCGAAGGCAGCUCACUACGGGAUUAUUGACACUGAGGCACGAAAGCGUGGGGAUCAAACAGG
rnacentral:rRNA from 1 species